GAUGGUCAGAGGGUCCUCUAUCCAGAUGUAGCUGGACAGUUGGAUAUCGCUACAGUGUCUGGUGAUGCAAAACCACUCACUGUUUCCCUAAAACAGCUGAGAGUGCAGUCAGAUCAAAUGACUCCCCCCGACACAACCGUCCCAGGCAUCAGCUGCCAUGCCUCCAGCAGGCCCUCUGCUGCUCAACAGCAAACCUGGAGGCUGCAGCAUCUCUGCCGAUCAGAAAGUGUUGCGUGUCACCUCGGGUGUAACGCAAGACAGGUGCCUGGCUAAAGGAUGCUGUUUUGAUGCAGAGACCUCAGUCUGCUGUUAUUCCAUGGAUGAAUGCACUGCUGAUAAGAACUUUGUCUUUGUUGUUUAUAAUGAUUUUGCAAACAUCCCUGUGAACCCCAUGAGCCUGAUGUUUGCUGGAAAGCCUGGUUGCAAGCCUGUUAUCUCCAACAAAGACUUUGCCAUCUUCAAGUUUUCUGUCUCUUUCAUGAGUAUUUUGUGAGUCGGCUUCUUCUGUACACUGAUUCACUGAAUUUAUUUAAAUAAGAGGACAGCUGCUGUAGUUCUGCAGGUCCUUGGCGAGACGAUAAUUUACCUGGCUGAGGUACAGACCAUCAUCAGAGUUCGCAGCCUGAAGUACGGCAUGAUCUCCAGGGAUAAUCCAUUCAGGUUUUAAAAAUGAUCUAGCCUGUUCUUUUGCUGUCUUCAAUGCAUGUGCCUGUUCUUAUAGUGCAUUUUUUUUUUUUAUCAGUACAUAUUGUUCCAAGUCUUCACUGUAAAAAAACAAAACCUUGACCUAACUCAAAAUAACCCUAUCACACUCAACUUAAGUUAACUCAAGCAACCAACAACUUAAAACCUUUAGCUCAUCUAAUGAAUAAAAGUCAGUCUAUUGAAUUUUCA
ensembl:lncRNA